GUUUGUCCCUGAGGGAGCACAUACGACAAGCAGGAUUUGAUGCUGAUUUCCUAAUUUCUCUCUCAAGCGUAGUCCUUCAGGUAUGUUGGCUUCCUCACCCUUCUCUUGCUGUUGGUGCUUCCUGCGUAUUCCUAUCACUGUUGCUUUGCGUUUUGUCUCUUUUUGUUAUCUCAGCCAUUACCAUUACUCGUUCCAACACCAAUGCACUCAUUCAUGAGGUUUCUUAUCUCAACCGGAGCAGUUUCCCGCUAGGCUUUAUUUUCGGGACAGCAUCCUCAGCAUAUCAGUAUGAAGGUGCUGCAAGUGAAGGUGGAAAAGGACCGAGUAUAUGGGAUACUUUCACUCAUAAAUACCCAGAAAAAAAUAAAAGAGGGAAGUAAUGGAGAAGUAGCGGACGACUCAUAUCAUCGGUAUAAGGAGGAUAUUGGAAUCAUGAAGUAUAUGAAUUUGGAUGCUUAUAGAUUUUCCAUUUCAUGGUCUAAGAUACUACCGAGUAAGUCAAGUUUGCUGACAUUCCACCCAAAUAAUUUUUUUAUUUUUUUUCUUAGUUUGUGUUCCAUAGUAACUAUUAUUAACUUAUAAAUUAUUUGCACAAGGAAAGCUUAGUGCAGGUGUAAACCAUGAAGGAGUAAACUACUACAACAACCUCAUCAAUGAGCUCAUGGCUAAUGGUCUGCAACCAUAUGUGCAAUCAUAUGUGACAUUUUUCCAUUGGGACGUCCCCCAAGCCUUAGAGGAUGAGUAUGGCAAUUUUUUAAGUCCUCACAUUUU